rnacentral:rRNA from 1 species
UGCCAGCCGCCGCGGUAAUACGAAGGGGCUAGCGUUGUUCGGAAUCACUGGGCGUAAAGCGCACGUAGGCGGAUUGUUAAGUCAGGGGUGAAAUCCCGAGGCUCAACCUCGGAACUGCCUUUGAUACUGGCAAUCUUUGAGUCCGGGAGAGGUGAGUGGAAUUCCGAGUGUAGAGGUGAAAUUCGUAGAUAUUCGGAAGAACACCAGUGGCGAAGGCGGCUCACUGGCCCGGUACUGACGCCGAGGUGCGAAAGCCAGGGUAGCGAACGGGAUUAGAUA